UAGAAUCCUUUAGCUAGACACAAAAGUUCUCCAAGUCCCCACCCCAUUAGCUAGACACGGAGUGCUGAUUGGUGCAUUUACAAACCUUUAGCUAGACACAGAGUGCUGAUUGGUGCAUUUACAAUUCUUUAGAGAGACAGAAAAGUUCUCCAACUCCGCACCUUUCUCAGAAGCCCAGCGAGCUUCACCUCUCGCUGGAACUUGCUGCAGGGACUUUGGGGCACCCAGCCCGGGCAGUCCGGCAGCCCAGAGGGAGCUCCUCCUAGACAACCAAGAGGAAAAGAGAGAAAGCGAGAAAGACGGAGACCCGCCAUCUUGGCCAACGACCGCGCGAAGAAGGAAGGGCGAUUCAUGCACGGGACCCAGCCUCCAAUCAAGCCCAGCAGGCGCCGGCCGGCGGCGCCGAGUGCAGGGCUCGCGGAGCCCGCCGAGCCUGCGCCCACCCAGAACCCGUGCCGGUCCGUGAGCGGUGCGCGCAGCCCCAGCUCCAGCCCGCGUCUCUCUCGUCACACUUUCCCGCCAGUAGAGGGAGCCGGCUUUGGCCUCGGCCAGCCCCAGAGAGGGGCCCUCACAGUGCAGCUGCGGGCUGAAGGGCUCCUUGAGCGUGGCCAGAGCAGACACCGAGGCCGAGGAGGCGCCCGAGGGCUGCUAGCAUGUUGUCACCUCUCAGGAUCACCCGAGGUCAGGAGUUUGAGACCAGCCUGGCCAACCUGCUGAAACCUCGUCUCUACUAAAAAUACAAAAAAAUUUAGCUGGUGGUGGACGCCUGUGAUUCCAGCUACUUGGGAGGCUGAGGCAGGCGCAUCACCUGAACCCGGGAGGCGGAGGUUGCAGUGAGCCGAGAUCGCGCCAUCGCACCCCAGCCUGGGCGACAGAGCGAGACUCCGUCUCUAAAAAAAAAAAAAGAAGAAAGAAAAACAUAAGUAUAGUGGGAAAAUACUUUUACAAAAGUAACAAAAUGUUCACAUGUUGCUUACUAUAUAAAAUUCAGUAGAAUAUUGUUUAUGAUACUGAUACUGUGCAAGGAUACAUUACUCAAACAUAGAAAAGCUGACAAGAUAAUAAGAAGUUAAUAGAUUAAAAUAUAAAUGGAUAUGGGAACCAAGAAGUCUAAAUGGAAAGCUAUGUGCCAAAAUCUCUGAUACCUGGAGGUCUUAUUUGAAAAUAGUCUCUUUAAAGAGAUGAUUAAGUUAAAAUGAGGCUGUUAGGGUGUGUUCUAAUCCAAUAUGACCGGUGUCCUAAGAAGAGAUUGGAACACACAAAGACACCAGGACAGACACCAGUGCACAGAGCGAUGACUGUGUGAGGAGGUAGCAGGUGGGUGACCCUCUGCAAACCAAAGAGAGAGGCCUCAGAGGACCCAACCCUGCCAGCACCUUGAUCUGGGACUUCCAGCCUUCGGAACUGUGCUGGCCCUCUUUCAUUGCAAGUUUCCCACUUCUCAUUUCAAUGGAUGCUAUCAAGGUCUUCUCCAUCUAAGACACACAUGCCACAGGAAGUCUCCUCAGUGUCUCCAGAAGAGAUAAGAACACAAAGAACACGUGCAUCUUCCACUCGAACAAGCUGCAGUGAGGGCCUGAUAGUCAAAAUUACAUGGAGGAAAAUCACAGCUCUUCUCCCCUAGAAAGUCUGCUGAGUCUCACCAGGACAAUCUCACAGGGAGGCUGCCACCAAUUCUCUCUGCAAGGACUGUGAAACUCAGAUGAAGAAACUGAGACUCAGGGAAGAGAUGUAUCCCAUCAAUGCCGGUAAACGGCAGGCCCAACACUGAAUCUCGUUAAAUCCAACUGUUUCCACCUCCUCCAUAUUGUCUUCUAAAAAGAGAAGAACUGGCAGGAGAAAUGCCACACGGUCCCAGUGGCCUAUACACAUAUGAAACUCUGAAGGAAUGGACCUUCCUCUCAGAUGGAUGGAACUAGAAUUUCAAGAGGGUGAGGGAGAGCCCCUGCUGUUGUCUCUCUCUAUCCUCCCACCGCUUGGUUCUGGAUAUGGGAUAUGCAGGAAUUACAUGGCAGAAUGGGCAAAUAAAGUCCAGCUUUCUACCAGAGGAUUAAAAAAAGGAAUCUCAGAGAAUUGGAAUGUAUCACGGAGAUACCAGAGAGGGAAAAGUUCAGGAAAGUAAACUCAUAAAAGUAUUUCUGAACUCCUAGUCUUAUGACCUGUACAAAUACAGGUUGACCUCAACCAGCAUCCUAUAAACUUUGAGAAUUGAACUAUAGGACAGAUUAUUGGCCAGGUCUCAGAAUGGCCACUGGAUGGUGCAAACCUGGGUCUGAUCUGAAUACCACUACAAAGCUUUGAAAAUGGAAUAGACAUUGAAACUACAGAAGGCUGUUUGAAACUUGUGGCGUCAAUCCAAACAUGCUGUUCAUCCAGUAAAACAAAAACUUCAAAAUUCUUCAUAGAUUUGAAUAAGACCCAGCAUCUUAAAACAUAAUCCAAAAUGUCCAUGAUAAAAUAAAAAAUUACUCAGCAAAUGAAGAACCAGUAAAAUCUCAAAUUGCAUGGAAAAGGCAGUUAACAAAUGCCAAUGCUGAGAUGAUAUAGAUGUUGAAAUUAUCUGACAAAGACUUUACAACAGCUAUUAUAGACACGCUCCAAGAAGUAAGAGUAAAUAUUUUUGAAAUGAGUGGAAAGAUAGAAAGUCUCAUAAAAAUUGAAAUUAUAAAGAAUGACAUAAAAAUGUUAGAGCCAAAAAGUAGAAUAACAGAAAUAAAAACUCAUUAGAUGAGCUCAAUAUAAUAGAAAUGUCAAAGGCAAGAGUUAGUAAACUGAAGAUAGAUCAAUAGAAAUUAUCCAACCUGAGCAACUGAGAGAAAAGAAUACUGAAACAAACAAACAAACAAACAAACAAAAAAACAUGAAUAGAGUCUCAGGGACCUGUGUGAUAAUCACAAAAUGUGUAACGUUUAUAUCAGUGGAGUCUCGGAAAGAGAAGAGAAAAUGAAGUGCAUUUUCCAAAAAAUGUUAGAAAAUAAAUGGCUGAAAAGUUUAAGUUUUGUGAAAGACAUAAACUUGCAUAUUCCAGAAGCUAAGGAAACUCCAAACAGAAAAAAAAAACAAAUAAACAACUCCCCCACCCACAAAAAACCCAAGCCCAGAUACAUAAUAAUCAAACUGCUGAAAACUAAAGACAAAGUAUUAAAAACAGCCAAAGAAAAAAAUAGCACAUGACUUAUGGGGAGCAAUGUUUCAGCUGACUGUAGAUCUGUCAUAAGAAACCAUGAAGACAGAACAAAGUGGUAUGACAUUUUAAAAGUCACUAUAAAUUUCUCAUGAAAAACUAUGAAGCCAGAAAGAAGUGGCAUAACAUUUUUUAAGUGCUGAAAGCAAAGGAAUAUUAACCCACAACUCUAUAUUCAGGAAAAUAUGCAUGACAAAUGAAGGAGAAAUAAAGAUAUUCUCAGAAGAAGGAAAACUAAGAGAAUUCUUAACCAGCAGACCUCUUCGAGAAGAACUUCUAAACAUUUCUUCCAAACAGACAGAAGGGCUCUAACCCGAGCUUCAAGCCCCAUUUGUAUGCAGCUGUCCAUGGGUGUCAGUAGUUGUUUGACUUAGCAGAGCCGAGAGCCCCGGGUUGGGAGUGGAGAGAAAAAAGGGAAGAGCUGCAUUCCAGUCAACAUGCUCCUGGAAGGACCUGACCUCUCCUGCUCACUUUUUAAAAAGGCUCCAUAGUCAAGGAAAGGUGAGUGAAAAGGAUAAAUCAGUGUUAACUGAAAGAAUUUCCUUUUUAUUUUUUUUAAACGUACUCAGAAGAAUGCAUUAUCUGUUAGUAAGUAGUGUAAGUAAUUAUCUUUCGCGUGGAACUGGUAUAUUUUAGGCAAUCCCACUGAAAUGGCGUAAACAACAUUUCCUGUGUCAAAAGCAGAGAUCCAAGUCUGUUUUAGAAUGGUCCUAAUCUCCAUCUCUUAUAAUUUCCACCAAUAACUUGUCUUUUUAUAUAUGCUGGCAUCUGCGUGAAAGACAGCAUCCCACAUUGACCAAGUCUCCAUCUGGUGACAGACGGGGGAACAGGAACGUAGACUGUCACUUUAUGCAGAUGGAUUUCUAUUAAUACAAACAAGUGACCCUAAAAGAGAAAUUGGCUAGCUCCAGCAUAACUUUAAGAAGAUUGUUCUGAAUUUCCUGAAAACAGGUUAUUUCUAAAUACAUGGUGUUGCGUUUCAAACACAGAUCAGGCAUUUUGUCCUUCUCAGAGCUGGUUUUUCCUAGUGGGUUUGCUGUUCUGAGCCUGUGUGUUUGGAAGAGCAUGGGCAGGAGAUGCAAGGAAGUGGUUGCCAGGAGGGCAAGAGGUGUCCUGUGGGAAGAGCCCCAAGUCCUCCUUGUCUCUGUUCCAGGAUCCGUGUGUUAUGAAUCCUGGAGAGAGCAGAGCAUGGGGACGAGGAGAACAGAGGGGAAAGGAAGUGGUUUAACCCACGAUGGCUCCUGGUCUCUUGUCUCUUGCAUCACUGUGAGAAUAGGUAGCUUUUAAAUAUCCUCGAGUACUUCCGUCAGGUAAAUGUACUUUCUGAACUUAUGUAAGUGAUCCCUUAGAGGAUCACUAGAAAAGCUUUAGCUGGCUACUUCCUCAUCUUCAGUGACCACCCCUGGCCAGCCAUGACCAGGAGGGCUCCACCUGGGCUAUGGAGAGACUCACCAGAGGGACAAUUCUGAACCAUGAACAACCCAGUAGCCCAUCAGUAGAGAUGGAGCGAUGGUGUAACCAUGAAACAAAAUCCUUUGCCGUGAUUCAAGAAUGCAUUUCGUAACAGUGUUUUUCAAACUGUAGUUAUUUCAGUACCACUUCAGGGUUUUUGCCCUGCCUAUGUCCAGCUCUACUAUCAUGUGCUUAAUAUUUGUAUUUAAAUGGACUUGGUUUUUAAACUAUGGAAUCCCACAUUAUCUUUGUCUUAAGUGAUGAUAUAUCUAUGCCACCAUGAAUUUGAGGUGCUAACUCUAUUUUUUCAAUACACAUUAACAUAAGUAGAUAACUAUCAAAAUUAAACAUGUUUAAGUGUUAGUUAAAAUAGUCCUGAGUAUCCCCAGUGGUACACUUCUCACCUUCUGGAGAAACUGUGCUUUCUCCAGAAACAGUAUUUGAUAUCCCUGGGGGAAAGGCUAUGCUCUCCUCUGAAGAAAAGGCUCGGAAUGCAGUUUGAUCACAAUUUUGUGGAAAUGAUAUCUGUGUGUGUGUGUGUGUAUGAAAAAGUUCUGGAUGUAUGUAUUGUUAAGGACAGUUAGCGCUACGUAAUAUGGUAUAAGAUUGAGUUGCGGUUUGUUGGUUUGUUUUACAAGUAGCACCUUUACUUCAAAGUGACAAUUAACUCAUUUGUCUUUUUAAAUAACAGCUUUUUUGUGAUAUAAUUCACAUAUCAUCACUGCUUGAGGAAAGCAACCUUGUAGCCAAUGCUGAUACUGGCAAUACGUUUUCAGAGUAUAUUUAUAAUAAUCAUCAAACUUGUGUGAUGUUAGUAAAACUGUUGUCUAUUUGUUUAAGGUACAU